CCUCAAGUCCAGCCCCAGCCAAUGCAGACCCACGCCCCGUGCCUUCUUUCUCAGAGCGCUUGAGGAACAGCUGCAAGUAGUCAUGGGCUGCAACCCCACUAAUCAGAGUCCUCGAGGAGUGAGUCCAGUCUGCCUAAGGUAGAUAAUCACCUCAUCCUAGGUGGAGAGGAAUUUGUGGCCUCAUACUUCAGACCAAAAUUGAAUCUUAUUUCCACCAGAUGUGUUCAAUAAAUGCAGAUGGGAAAUGAUAUCUCUUCAUUUCCAGGGAAUUUGUGGGUGGAGAAAAAGCUAGAAAGAGAAAAGCAAGGAGAAGCAAAACUGGAGAGAGAAGAGCCAAGCAACCUUGAGAUGGGCUGGAAGAAACUUUUUUGGAAGAGAAGUGCCAAACAACAAAUUCUCAGUUCAUGUUUCUCAUGGAUGGCAUUUCUUUAAUCGUAGCUGUGUCCCAAAAUUGAACCCUAUGUUUCCAGUUUAAGAAGAAUACUGCUUCUUUGACAUGAAAGCUUACUGGUCAGCAAUAAUAUUACUCCUACUCUGUCCAGUACAGUAACCACCAGCCUCAUGGGGCUAUCAAGUACUUGAAAUAUGACUAGUCUGGGUUGAGAUGCAUUGGAACUGCAAAACACACAUAAAACUUCAAACACCUAGUCAAAAAGAAAA